GCUUGGCUCUCCAUCCCUAGUGGGUGGAGCCUCUUGGACUUCUGGGAUUUGAGGACCAGAACCAGAGUGGAAGCUCAGGGAGAGGCUCUGGGUCUCAUGCAUGGAAAAUCUGAAGGGUUGGCCCGUGACCUCCAAGUGCAGAGCAGAAGUGGCUACAGAGCCUCAGCAUCUCCAAGCUGGCUUCCGAGCUAAGCCACAGCAUUGAUAGCACAGUUCAAAUGCAAAGCUGAAGUCUGUGUGGUGGAGACCAUGAUCAUAGAGAAUGGGGUGGCUGUUAUCCUGGAGUGAGGGUCAGGAACUUCCUCAUUGCUGCUGAAGGUUGCCUAGAGUCCUCAGUAAGAGCAACUUGCAAAAGAGAUAUGGGAAAACUGAAGUAUGUCUACAUUCAUGGAGUUCCCAGGAAAUCGCCAUCAGUAAGUUCUAGCCUCCAGUCGAGGGUUUUUCCAUUUUCCCAUUGUUUCUGAGUGAGACACUCAGCCAUUGACAAGUACAACAGACUGCUUUCCACAAACUCUGUUGUCAAGGGAAGUAGCUGGUGCGGCUUUGUAAGCUCCAGGGUCCUCAGGCCCAGCCACGACCUGUGACCCCCCUCAACAUCAGCUGGAGAAAGUGAGGGGCCCAGCCUGCAUCAGCUGGACAAAUGAGGGCCUGGACACACUGUCUUGCAGCUCUGCUUUUGGUGAGGGGCUGACCCCUCGCUGCAGGUGCUGUGUCCCCAGGGCAUUUUUGGUCGCCCAGUCAGGUGGCAAGGACUUGCUUGCUCUAAGGGUGUUUCUCUUUGCCCUCUUUCAUCAAAAGAGCUUUGAGGAGACGCCUUGCCCUGCCCUCUCCCUGCCUCCGGGGGCCCACACAGUCAGUAAGCCCUCCAUAACCAUUAAUUUAGCCAAUUUCCUGGGCCACACCAUCCCCCAGGGACCCCACUUUGGUGGGCAGCACUGGAACAAGACUCCCUGCUGUUUCCAUUCCCUUUUAAUUACAUAGGGACAAGCUUCCUUGGGCUGACUUUGGGAGGCAAGCCCCGGGCCGGCCUGGCUGCCCUCCACCAAACAAUGCACACAUGUUCCGGAGAAUUCCUUCCUCGCCUAAUCCGGGCUGGGAAGAAAGGGGCUUUUCUUCUUGUCGUCAAAGGGGAUCUUCGAUGCUAAGAUACCAUUUUGUGUCUCAAGUCAUGUCACGGGACUUCUGCCUCGGCCUCGCUGCCUGCUCUUUAGAAAUGAAGGACACAGUCCUUGAUUCACCUCGAGACAAGUGCCCUCCCCUCCACCCCGGCACAUAAAAGAAGGCUGGGGAGCAAGAGAAGCAAGGGAAGUGCCCCGCUCCCACUGUUCCUUUCUCAUCUUGGCAACCUCGGCGCUCUGGACUGUUUGCCCAAAGGAUGAGUAGGGAGGACUGAGCCUCACCUGCUGAUCUCAAGGGUCAUGAAUAUUCUUAUAAUCCCCGAGGAAGAAGGGCCUUUCAUUAGAGGAGUCUGUCCAGGAGGCCUGGAGCCUCAUCACCUCCACCACCAGUUCAGUCUCUUCUGCUUCCUGGUUCUGGUCUGCAGACUGCCCUCCCUACCCUCUGCCUCCCGGUUCUGCAGGCUGCAGAUGCUGGAAAAUCGGGAUUUCACCCGGCAGGCUAUGCGGGUCUCUGUUACUAGCUCAUGUCCCUGUUUUAUAAGCAAAUUAAAGGAAGUCUCUGACUUGCAAACUGCUUUGAGACUGAGAACAGACUUGCUCAGUCCUCCCUGGUGUUGGUCCCCAGUCACGUUCACAUGCUACCUCCAGUGGUGAAGAGCCCCGAGGGAGGGAGAUUUUGGAUUCUCAAUGUGAAAUCAUGCUAGGUGAAGAGUUAAUAUGAAAGCUAGUUGGAAAAAAGUGGCUUCAGGUGUCCUAGCAGCAGCAGAAGAGAACAACCCGUUAGUUGAAGUGUGGAGCAGCAUAUCUCUCCUAGCUGGAGGACUUCCAAAACAAAACAACCCCCUCUCACCAAAAAACAAAACAAAACAAAAAAACCACAAAACAACAGCAACAAAACCCCCACCAUAUUCUGCAUUUUAAGUGUUAUCCCUAACAUCUCUGCACUAAAAUAAGUUUUUCUGGUUUAGAGCAGCCUGAAUCUAGUUGCUCUACAUAUCCUCAUGAAAAACAAACACAGAUGUGUGGCGGCCCAAGUUUUCUCCAGAAUCCAUAACUGCAGCCUCUGGGCUGGUGCUACCUAUCCUAAGCGGCCAUCCUGAACACACAGCAGUGUGAGAACUGUUUUGUUCACUCUUGGGCCAAGUCCCACGGGCCUAGCACAGGUGCAGCCAGAGGGAAGCCACAGAGCCAAGAGGGGCCACAGCGGCAGAGCAGCCUGACCCAGGCUGGCUCCAGGAAGCAGUGCUCUCAAAGGUCAGACAGGUCCUUUGCUUGGCCCAAAGGAAGAAGCAUUUUUUUUUGGGGGGGGGGAAAUAAGUGGCACUCAGUGUGACUGAGUGGACACUACAGGAGGUAGGCAAGAUUCCAUUAAUGUUGCUGGCACCAUUCUUGCUUGGUUUGAAAAUAACUAUGGAUUGGAUCUUGAUUUAAACCUACUUAGUAUCAUAAUUCUAGCUAAUGCUUUUGAACACUCAUGCUGGACACUUGGGAAGUUACACAUCACCUUACUUUGAUUAAAAAAAAAAACCCUGACACACACACACACACACACACACACACA